CUUCCCAGACAGAUGCAGUUCACCAAGUGGAGGCCUUUGGCACUGGGAUGGAGCAGCAGCACCUUUGUGCUGUUGGGCAGUGUUUUGGGUUCCCUGUGGGCGUUUGAAAAGAGAAGCCAAGGUGUGUGCUUGAGUGAUGAGACACUGCAGUGCAGGACAGUGCUUCACAGGUGAGGAUGGGGUUGGGGAUGAGGAAUGGGCAGCGCAGGCAUCCAGGGCCUCUUCUUGAGGGCAAGCCCCGUGUACUCAGGGCUAAGCCCUCAGCUGUCGUCCAGGACCAUCUCGAACAGGUGGCAGCUGGUGCUGCGGGGCUGCCGGCAUCAGAAACAGCUGGCUGCAGCCGGCCUCCGUCUGUCUCCCACUCAGUACGCGUGCACGUGUGUGUGUAUUACAUUACUACUUAAUAUUGAGUUGUUUGUUUGUUGUUCUCUCUUGAGGAUUGCGAAGAGCUCCUCUCCCCUCCAGAUUUCAGAUUUCCCUCCUCACACACACCUCCUUCCCCCGCCUCCCGACCAACCCCCGCUCCCCCGAGGGGAGGCGGGCAGGCGCCGUACCUGGCGCCCUCUGCCCGGGGAGGAGCGCGCCUCUCCGUCCCGACCCCGGCGGCACCGGCAGCGGCACCGCGAGCAGCAUUGUUCUGAAGUGGAGUUACGCCUCUUCCGCGCCUCGCCCUUCUAUGACAAGUGACAUAUUUUGGUACAGACCUUGUGGACAGACCCGUGAUGGUGAUCUGCAGGGCUUUGGUGUGAUAGCAAAGGUGGCAGCAGCUCUCUAAACACUGUGCUGUUGCUCUUCAUGGUGCUGGGAUCCCAGGAGGACUUUGGCUUAAGUUUUCUUUCUCCUCCCUUCCUUCCCGUCAAGGACACAGACUUUGGCUGUAUUUUUCAUAACUGUGUGAAGCAAGAAACCUAACGGAUG